rnacentral:rRNA from 1 species
UACGUAGGGGGCAAGCGUUGUCCGGAUUUACUGGGCGUAAAGAGCGCGUAGGCGGAAGCGCCAGUCCGGCCUGAAAGCCCCCGGCUCAACCGGGGAGAGUGGCUGGAAACUGCGUUUCUUGAGGGCGAGAGGGGAGGGUGGAAUUCCUGGUGUAGCGGUGAAAUGCGUAGAGAUCAGGAGGAACACCCGGGGCGAAGGCGGCCCUCUGGCUCGACCCUGACGCUGAGGCGCGAAAGCGUGGGGAGCGAACAGG